GAUGAACGCUGGCGGCGUGCCUAAUACAUGCAAGUCGAGCGAACAGACGAGGAGCUUGCUCCUCUGACGUUAGCGGCGGACGGGUGAGUAACACGUGGAUAACCUACCUAUAAGACUGGGAUAACUUCGGGAAACCGGAGCUAAUACCGUAUAAUAUAUUGAACCGCAUGGUUCAAUAGUGAAAGUCGGUUUUGCUGUCACUUAUAGAUGGAUCCGCGCGGCAUUAGCUAGUUGGUAAGGUAACGGCUUACCAAGGCAACGAUGCGUAGCCGACCUGAGAGGGGGAUCGGCCACACUGGGACUGAGACACGGUCCAGACUCCUACGGGAGGCAGCAGUAGGGAAUCUUCCGCAAUGGGCGAAAGCCUGACGGAGCAACGCCGCGUGAGUGAUGAAGGUCUUCGGAUCGUAAAACUCUGUUAUUAGGGAAGAACAAAUGUGUAAGUAACUAUGCACGUCUUGACGGUACCGAAUCAGAAAGCCACGGCUAACUACGUG
rnacentral:rRNA from 1 species